GUGGGGAAUAUUGCGCAAUGGGGGAAACCCUGACGCAGCAACGCCGCGUGGAGGAUGAAGGCCCCUGGGUCGUAAACUCCUGUCAGAGGGGACGAACGUCAUGAUGGCCAAUACCCAUCAUGCCUGACGGUACCCUCAGAGGAAGCUCCGGCUAACUCCGUGCCAGCAGCCGCGGUAAGACGGAGGGAGCAAGCGUUGCUCGGAAUUACUGGGCGUAAAGGGCGUGUAGGUGGGAUGGUAAGUCGGAUGUGAAAGCCCCGGGCUCAACUCGGGAAGUGCAUUCGAUACUACUGUUCUUGAGUAUGGUAGGGGAGAGCGGAAUUCCCAGUGUAGCGGUGAAAUGCGUAGAUAUUGGGAAGAACACCUGUGGCGAAGGCGGCUCUCUGGACCAUUACUGACGCUGAGGCGCGAAAGCCAGGGGAGCAAACGGG
rnacentral:rRNA from 1 species